ACAGAUAUUUCACCCAUGCUAAGCUGAGAGUGCAAAGUGCUGCUGUCCAGUGAAAGAGUGUUUUUUCUGGUGUCCUACAGUCAGCAAGGGCAGUAUUGAUAGCCUCAUGCUCUGACCACCUAGCAAUGUAUCUCUAGUUUGCCACAUCCACUGUUUUUUGUAGCUCCUGCUGACCUAUCAAAGACUGGAAUUCUUGCUGGUGUUGCUGGUCCUGAACACAGCAAGACUAGGAGAAAGGAAACAGGCUUUCUAUGUCCCCAUGCCAUAGCACUCAUGUGAGAUGAGACAGAAAUAUCUAGGCAGGGUCAGUGUCCUCGGUUGGCCUGUGAGAGGGUGUAAAGUGAACAGCCUCGUGUAACCCCAUAUCUUGACCCUGGAGAUACAAGAAGGGCUUUGAGCUUCUGCAGUGUCCAUAGAGAAGAGCAGAUCUGCAGUCAGAGCACCCAGGUUUCCACCUACAGCAGGACCAUUCAGCCACUAGCACAAUGAAACAUGAGUGGUUUAGUAUUAGGAGUUGCUUCUGAUGAGAAAACAAAGGAUGUCUGCUGAGAGCUCCCUAUCAAUGAUCUGCUCCCAUUUCAUCUAUUAGAAAAACAAAGAAUUUGAGGGAUUUUUGGCAUUGUUUUGCCGAGGAGAGUAACUGAAGCCUCUGGAGGUCAGACCAUUUCUAACUGGGGCAAUCCCAAGCACAACUACAGAGAACGGAUUGGGAGCAGCCCUGAGGAGGAAGACUUGGAGGUCUUGGGAAAGCAGUGGUCUGCAGCCCCUGUUGUUCCUGUGCUGCAGAGACUUUGGACAUGCCCAGAGAAGAGAGGGGCAACUGCAGAAACUGAGAGGAACCACAGGCAAGUGACUACACCAGGGAGAAGAAGUGAGAUGGGCUUCUGUUACAGUGGUUCUAUUUCAAGAUAGUUUCCCUUCCCAGGCAGUGCUUGCAGAGAUGAAGCAGAGCAGGACCAGAAGCUGCCUGGUUUUGAGCAGAAAUGAGCCUAAACCAGAAGUCUCCCUCGAUGCAGCAUCACCAGGCCAAGCUGCAAAGUCAAAUAAGCCCUAGCAUCUGUUGUUAGAGAAACUUGUAUUGUGCUGUGGUAAAAUAUCAAGUUCAGAGCCAUUUGGCUUAGGAAGUGUUGGUUCAGGCCCUUAACUGAAAGAGAAAGUGGAGAAGGAGAACUUGUGGAGUUGUUUGACCUCUUCAGUAUCCCAUUAUAUUUCCUCAUUCCUGCUGGUGUGCCCAUUAAAACUGCAGAGCUCAUUUUAAAGCUGUCAUGUUCAGGCUAUGAGAAGUUUAUGGAAAGACUUCUGGGCACCUGGGAGGGGUGGGAGGGGUGGGACCAGGCAGCUAGCUCAGAAAUGGAUGCUCCACGAAGUCUGAGCACUUCUGUUUUAAUCCUGGUGGACAGAAAGAGGUUUGUUCCCACUCGCUUCUGCUCUACUCUAUUUUCUGUAAAGGAGUGUCAAACCAAACUGUAAGGAGAGGCAUGAAAUGCAUAGUCAGGAACUAGCUGACCCAAAGUCUACUUUAUUCCACAACGCUGUCAAGAUAUUUGUCAACCCCCUUAAAGCUGACUUGCUCCAUCCUUCACUCAAGCAAAGCACCCGUAAUCUCUUUGGGAUCUUGCAGCAAGAUAAGCACAUUUUGCCCAACACCUUUAAUUUUGUCAUAUCAUUCCAUAAUAGGGGAAGGUCUUCAAAAAGACCACAGCAAUGCCAUCUCUAGCUCUACACAGACACAGGAGCCUCAAGCACGAUGGUAUGUGUGUGUGGUUUCUCUGAGAAUGAGUGUAACAUUUACCACAUGCUUUCCACAUCUGAAGGUGACAGCCAAGUUGGGAUUAAAUGUGAAGGAUUGUUCCUCCCAGAGAAAUGGCUGAUGGGGUCUUCUCCCUCCAAAUCUUCCUUCCUAUCUUCCCAACACAUUUUCAGAGCUUACUGUCAGGAGUCUUAUGUCUCUUCAAGGAAAGCUCAAGUAACUCUCCACAACGUGCCCAUUGAUGACAUGCUUCUUCCUGUAUUUGCUGGGAAAUGUGUUGUGUUUUCAUUGCCAUUGAACCAUGGUAUUAGCUCACGGUGUACUCAUAGAAUCAUACAAUCAACUGGGUUGGAAAAGACUUCAAGAUCAUCAGGUCCAACCUUUACCCCAUCACUGCCAAGGCCGCCACCACAUGGGUCCUCAUCUCCACCGUGUGUGAACACUUGCAGGGACGGUGACUGCAGCCCUGCCCUGGGCAGCCUGUUCCAAUGCCUGAGCACCCUCUGGGGCAGGAAUUGUUCCUCAGCUCCAUCUAAACCUGCCCUGGGGCAGCUUGAGGCCGUUUCCUCUUGUCCCAUCCCUUGUUCCUUGGGAGCAGAGCCCAGCCCCUCCUGUCUCCAUCCUCCUGUCAGGCAGUUGUAGGGAGCCAUCAGGUCCCCCCUGAGCCUUCUCUUCUCCAGAGACCCCCCCCAGGUCCCUCAGCCAUUCCUCAUGCACUGUACCCCUCCCACAGUAAAGCACAGUUGAGAUCUUCAGUUUCUACUUUGAUUUAUUCAUGUGUUUGGUUUUUCUGGGGCUAUUUUGACAUCUUGCAGCUUCCUAAGAAACCAACUUAUUGUUGCAGUUGUGAUGACAAACACUCAAAUAGCUCCAGCCACAUUGUGGAAUCGAAACCAAAGCUGUUAAAACAACCAACCAACCUCUACAAAAGCCUCUGACAAACCCCAGCUUGUCUUACGGUGGUUUCACAAGGGUUUAAAACCACACACUGCAUAGGCAGCUACGGGGUCCAUCAGGAAAUGAGUCAAAGAUGACAAGAAAGUGACAAAGUGCAGAUGAACAUUUUCAGUGCCUGUUUUGUGGUGUGGAUAAAAGGGGAAGCAGGUGUUCUUCGGCUGCCUGCAUACCCUGAAGCAUCACUCCCAACCGCCUGAGGAGGGCACAAACCAAUGCAAAGCAGGAGGGCAAAAUGAAACCCAUGAAUUGCAACUGUGUGGCAGGAGCAUGAAGUGAAGGAAUCCUGCAGGAUCUCUCCUUGGGGAGGAGCGUCUCUCCUGGCAGAGAUUGGGGUGAAGGGGAUUGCUUUGUCUCUGGUUUUAACCUGUAUCUUCUGUCUCCUUGCUCUCUGAGAGGUCAGGAACAGCAGAGUCAAGUUGUGUUUCUCCAGCCAGCACCCACAUUUAACUCCUUUGCCCCACAGGUCUGGUUUUGCUUUGGGUGAAGUGCUUUGCUCUGCUAAGGCGAAACAAGCAUGCAGACACCAAGGCCCAUUAGAAAUACUCAUAAAUAACAGCUUCAUAAAUAAUCCAUUGAGAAUUGGGAUUGUGAAAGCUUUGUAUUCCUGGAUGCAAUGGGUUCCUUCUCCUACAUCUCUAAUGCAAAGAUCAGUAACACAGAGAUGGAGGAGGAUGGGAAGGUGGAAGACUGUGUUUUACUUGGCUCUUCCCGCUCCUCACACACACCAGUGUCCCCAGUGACACCAGUGCCCCUGCACCAGUGCUCUCAGUACC